UACGGAGGAUCCAAGCGUUAUCCGGAUUUAUUGGGUUUAAAGGGUGCGUAGGUGGCCUGUUAAGUCAGGGGUGAAAGACGGUAGCUCAACUAUCGCAGUGCCCUUGAUGCUGAUGGGCUUGAAUGAACUAGAGGUAGGCGGAAUGUGACAAGUAGCGGUGAAAUGCAUAGAUAUGUCACAGAACACCAAUUGCGAAGGCAGCUUACUAUGGUUUUAUUGACACUGAGGCACGAAAGCGUGGGGAUCAAACAGG
rnacentral:rRNA from 1 species